rnacentral:rRNA from 1 species
AGUGAACGCUGGCGGUAGGCCUAACACAUGCAAGUCGAACGGCAGCACAGUAAGAGCUUGCUCUUACGGGUGGCGAGUGGCGGACGGGUGAGGAAUACAUCGGAAUCUACUUUUUCGUGGGGGAUAACGUAGGGAAACUUACGCUAAUACCGCAUACGACCUACGGGUGAAAGCAGGGGGACCUUGGGACCUGGCGGGAUGGAAUAGGCCGAUGUCGGAUUAGCUGGUUGGCGGGGUAAAGGCCCACCAAGGCGACGAUCCGUAGCUGGUCUGAGAGGAUGAUCAGCCACACUGGAGCUGAGACACGGUCCAGACUCCUACGGGAGGCAGCAGUGGGGAAUAUUGGACAAUGGGCGCAAGCCUGAUCCAGCCAUACCGCGUGGGUGAAGAAGGCCUUCGGGUUGUAAAGCCCUUUUGUUGGGAAAGAAAAGCAGCAGGUUAAUACCCCGCUGUUCUGACGGUACCCAAAGAAUAAGCACCGGCUAACUUCGUG